GUAACAAGGUUUCCGUAGGUGAACCUGCGGAAGGAUCAUUACUGAUUUGCUUAAUUGCACCACAUGUGUUUUUCUUUGAAACAAACUUGCUUUGGCGGUGGGCCCAGCCUGCCGCCAGAGGUCUAAACUUACAACCAAUUUUUUAUCAACUUGUCACACCAGAUUAUUACUAAUAGUCAAAACUUUCAACAACGGAUCUCUUGGUUCUCGCAUCGAUGAAGAACGCAGCGAAAUGCGAUACGUAAUAUGAAUUGCAGAUAUUCGUGAAUCAUCGAAUCUUUGAACGCACAUUGCGCCCUCUGGUAUUCCGGAGGGCAUGCCUGUUUGAGCGUCGUUUCUCCCUCAAACCGCUGGGUUUGGUGUUGAGCAAUACGACUUGGGUUUGCUUGAAAGACGGUAGUGGUAAGGCGGGAUCGCUUUGACAAUGGCUUAGGUCUAACCAAAAACAUUGCUUGCGGCGGUAACGUCCACCACGUAUAUCUUCAAACUUUGACCUCAAAUCAGGUAGGACUACCCGCUGAACUUAAGCAUAUCAAUA
rnacentral:rRNA from 1 species